rnacentral:rRNA from 1 species
UAAAUAGUCCGGCCGGCUUUUGCUGGUCGCAGACUUCUUAGAGGGACUGUCAGCGUCUAGCUGACGGAAGUUUGAGGCAAUAACAGGUCUGUGAUGCCCUUAGAUGUUCUGG